rnacentral:rRNA from 1 species
AGAGUUUGAUCCUGGCUCAGGACGAACGCUGGCGGCGUGCCUAAUACAUGCAAGUCGAGCGGACCGGAUUGGGGCUUGCCUUGAUUCGGUCAGCGGCGGACGGGUGAGUAACACGUGGGCAACCUGCCCGCAAGACCGGGAUAACUCCGGGAAACCGGAGCUAAUACCGGAUACCACCGAAGGCCGCAUGGUCUUCGGUUGAAAGGCGGCCUUUGGGCUGUCACUUGCGGAUGGGCCCGCGGCGCAUUAGCUAGUUGGUGAGGUAACGGCUCACCAAGGCGACGAUGCGUAGCCGGCCUGAGAGGGUGACCGGCCACACUGGGACUGAGACACGGCCCAGACUCCUACGGGAGGCAGCAGUAGGGAAUCUUCCGCAAUGGGCGGAAGCCUGACGCAGCGACGCCGCGUGAGCGAAGAAGGCCUUCGGGUCGUAAAGCUCUGUUGUGAGGGGCGAAGGAGCGCCGUUCGAAGAGGGCGGCGCGGUGACGGUACCUCACGAGAAAGCCCCGGCUAACUACGUGCCAGCAGCCGCGGU